rnacentral:tRNA from 1 species
CCCCUGGUAGUCUAGUGGUUAGGAUGCGGCGCUCUCACUGCCAUGGCCCGGGUUCGAUUCCCAGUCGGGGGA